rnacentral:tRNA from 1 species
GAGCCUGUAGUUCAGCCCGGUUAGAACGCCGGUCUUAUAAGCCGGAAGUCCGCAGUUCAAAUCUGCGCAGGCUCA